CGGCGCCCGCGCCCGCGAGCUCCUCGAGCCGCGCCGCCGCACGCUGCCCGUUACCCACCGCCGGACCCCGCCUCCCGCCGUCCGCGUCGCGCCCGCAACUGCGUGUCGUUGCUGCCUGUGCUCUGCCUCGCGGCCUCCUCGACUCCUCGAGCCGGAGCUCGCUUCCGCCGGUGGCCAGCAGCAGCACCACCAGCAGGUCCCGCGUCGCUCGCGCCCCUUCUUCCUCAGCCCUGCCCGAGCUCGCGCCCAACCGAGGCCAGCCAACCCCGCCGCCAGAGGCCACCAUCGCCACCGCAGAUGAGCGCCGCCCCACUCCUUUCUCACCUCUCCCUCCGGUUCCCCCUGCUCAUCUCCCUCCCUGGUUUCUUCUCUACAGGAGCGCCAUGGUCGCUGAUCCCAUGCCCGAGGCCUCCUCAUCGCCGUCGUCGUCUGCUUCGUCUCCCGCCGCUGCAUGCCUGGACUCCACCGCUCGCACCUCCGCCCGUGCCCAAUCUCUGCUAAACUCCUCGCCCUUGCUGUCGUUGCUCUGUUCGUCGAGAAAGAGCGAGCGGGAUACCCUUUCCGCCUCCGUGUCCUUGUCAAACUCCUGCUCCCGUGUCCUUCUCAAACAAAGAAACCGUACCGACCAGGAUUUGUAGUUCGAUGCUAUAUAUUGAAUUGUUCUCUGCCGGAAUCCAGAACCAGGCCAGCGCCACCAGCGAGCAGUGCACCGUUGAAUUGUUCUCUGCCGGAAUCGUGAAUCAGGCCAGCGCCACCAGCGAGCAUUGCACCGUCGCUUGGGAUAUGAUACAGAUAUAAUUCUUCCCUUGCUUCUCCUGUUUCCUGUGGUAUAAUGUUGCAAUUCAACUGCUACUAUGUGAUCUUGCAAUUGUCGUAGUUAUGUUUCCUGCCGUAUAAUGUUGCCGUAUUAAUAGCUGCUCAAUCGGUUUUUGAUCAUGCUGUGAACAUUGGUGUGUUUAUGUGUCCUUGCUAGAAGUCUUAGCAAAAGUGACGAAGUGAUUGACUGAUUAUGAGCAGACUAAUAUCGACUGUACAUGUAUCAAUACAAAAAAAACAGAAAUUGAGAGCAGGGUUAUGGAUAGAGUUCUAGAGAUUUAGGAGCUCCUCGCUCCACACCUACAUUCAGAAACAACAGUUUUGAUGAAUCUGUCCUUCUACUUGUGUUGGACCUUUAGAUGCUACAUCAGAUAUUUAACAACUGCAGAUUCAAUGAGCAAUCAAGCAAAUCACGUUUCUCUUGUGAAAGAUGUGAAAUACUUGACCAGCUUGUUCCUUUGUUCCUUUGUUCCUUUGAUCAAGUUUCUUAUCUGGGUUUCAUUGAUUCAAAUAUUGGAGAAAUUUGUAUGCUAUUUGCUGAUGCCUGUGUUACUAUGUUACUACCUCUGAUCCCCAAUUUGAGCAAAACUUCAAUGCUUAUUUUGGCCUGAUUUGUAUGCUAUUUGCUGAUGCCUGACUAUGAUUUUUGGUUGUCGCUCUAUUACAGUGCAGUAAUAUAUAAUUUGGUCUGUUUGUGUUGUUGUGUUACUACCUCUGAUCCCUAAUUUGACCGCGGAUGCUGCUGCUACACCCGCACCACCAGCCCAAGGUCAGUCUCCUUCACCUUGCUCUAUAGCGCAACUCCCGCCUAACACCAUGUUGGCUUACUUCUGCCCCUCUGGUUUGGAGAGUGUGCACUCUCAGCUCUGCUGGGCCGGUCGUGCUCUCUUGCUGGUUCUUACCUGCAGCUCCAACAUGAAAGCCUACAAAUCGACUCUUGAGAUUUGUCUUCAAAAUAGGAUUUUUUUUUUACUAUUACAUACUCUACUGAAGUUACAUGAUGUGCAGUUUAGAAAGUUGAUUACUGGGGGACUUUUACUACAUGUCCAAUUAUGGUUUCAUGAUAAAAGGAUCAUGCACCAAACGUUUGUUGAAUUGCUGCUUCAAGAAAAUGUAUGGAGUUUUCAUUGCGUGCUUCAAGUCAUUAACCAGAAUAAUUUGAUGAACCACCAUGUCGCCCUUCCGCUUGGUUCCAUGGGAAAGCAAUUUACAAAGCUCCAGUUGGUCAAUACAGCCUUGAUUCCAUGUUUUCUACCACUGCUUAACUUUAUUUGAGAAACUGUUGUUGUUAUGUAUGCAGGAUAGAGUAUAGAGUUGUAUGCAGGAUAUAGUACUAGCGUUGGAAUUUCAGGGCAUCCAAAAAGAACUUAGUAUGCUUCAACCCAUGUUUUCUACCAUUGCUUACCUUUAUUUGAAAAAUUGUUGUUGCUAUGUAUGCAAGAUACAAUACUAGAGUUGGAAUAUCAGGGCAUCCAAAAAGAAUUUACUAUGCUUCAGGUAAGAAAGUUAAUUUGUUUGACUUUUGUAGGGACUAAAUUACUAGCUUAAUGCAUGGAACUUAUUGAGCUGCAGUCAUGGCAUGUGCUUACAUAGAGACCUUCGUUCUGUGGAUAUACCUCUUCUUAUAGGACAGCAUGUGCGUGAUGCAUUGCUCCCCUUAGUUUUCGGAGGAACAUGGUGCUAUUCCUGGUGCUUUUGGUUAUGAAAAAACUGACAUUAGUCAGGAACUUUCUAAGGUGAUCACUUUACUGCUCUGUUCUCAUCGUACCAUUUCUACACAGUUUACUGAGUUUAAAAAUCCAUGCAAUACUCUAAUUCUGAAGCUUUGGUUUAUGUGAGAUGUGGCUGAAAGAAGAAAUGAGAUAGCCGAGAUUCUAAUGGAUUUCCCCCAAUCGACAAUGAUAUUUCAUGACAUGAUGUGAAAAGUGGAGCCGCUUAAAGUACAUGGCGAGCUCACCAUGGCCGCCUUUCUUCCAACAGAUUGGGAACCGCCGACCGCGACCCAUGGUGUGUAGAUGAUACACCGGUGAGGCGUUCCAAGGACGAAGAGGAUCUCACGAUUUUCGGGGAUGAGGAGGAUCUUGCGAUUUCCAGAUUUCAAGUGUCUACACACUAUAUGUAGUAAGUUUUUUAGAGAAGUAGUCAAAUUAAAUCUGGAUACCAAUUUAUUGGAACAUUAUAUUUCUUACAGAAGUAGUCAAACAAUGAUAUCAAUUUGUUGGAACCAUCAAGGAGGUGACACUCCUGGAGGGUAUAUAUUCUCCAUCUUAUGCCUAUUUGAAAUACGGUUAUAGGUCUGUACUUUGCCACUCAUAUUGUAGUACUCAACUUUAGCAAUGAUGGAGCAGGAAAGUGUGCUGAACCUUCUAA